rnacentral:rRNA from 1 species
ACGUGGGUAACCUGCCCCCCAGGGGGGGAUAACAUUUGGAAACAGAUGCUAAUACCGCAUAGAUCCAAGAACCGCAUGGUUCUUGGCUGAAAGAUGGCGUAAGCUAUCGCUUUUGGAUGGACCCGCGGCGUAUUAGCUAGUUGGUGAGGUAAUGGCUCACCAAGGCGAUGAUACGUAGCCGAACUGAGAGGUUGAUCGGCCACAUUGGGACUGAGACACGGCCCAAACUCCUACGGGAGGCAGCAGUAGGGAAUCUUCCACAAUGGACGCAAGUCUGAUGGAGCAACGCCGCGUGAGUGAAGAAGGCUUUCGGGUCGUAAAACUCUGUUGUUGGAGAAGAAUGGUCGGCAGAGUAACUGUUGUCGGCGUGACGGUAUCCAACCAGAAAGCCACGGCUAACUACGUGCCAGCAGCCGCGGUAAUACGUAGGUGGCAAGCGUUAUCCGGAUUUAUUGGGCGUAAAGCGAGCGCAGGCGGUUUUUUAAGUCUGAUGUGAAAGCCCUCGGCUUAACCGAGGAAGCGCAUCGGAAACUGGGAAACUUGAGUGCAGAAGAGGACAGUGGAACUCCAUGUGUAGCGGUGAAAUGCGUAGAUAUAUGGAAGAACACCAGUGGCGAAGGCGGCUGUCUGGUCUGU